rnacentral:rRNA from 1 species
AUUGAACGCUGGCGGCAUGCCUUACACAUGCAAGUCGAACGGCAGCACGGGUGCUUGCACCUGGUGGCGAGUGGCGAACGGGUGAGUAAUAUAUCGGAACGUACCUUUCAGUGGGGGAUAACGUAGCGAAAGUUACGCUAAUACCGCAUAUUCUCUGAGGAGGAAAGCAGGGGACCUUCGGGCCUUGUGCUGAUGGAGCGGCCGAUAUCAGAUUAGCUAGUUGGUGAGGUAAAGGCUCACCAAGGCGACGAUCUGUAGCGGGUCUGAGAGGAUGAUCCGCCACACUGGGACUGAGACACGGCCCAGACUCCUACGGGAGGCAGCAGUGGGGAAUUUUGGACAAUGGGCGCAAGCCUGAUCCAGCCAUGCCGCGUGAGUGGAGAAGGCCUUCGGGUUGUAAAGCUCUUUCGGACGGGAAGAAAUUGGUGGGGCUAAUAUCCCCAUCGGAUGACGGUACCGUAAUAAGAAGCACCGGCUAACUACGUGCCAGCCGCCGCCGUAACAC